GCCGUCGUAGAUCAUGGCGAUCGCCGUCUUUCAAUACGAGAGUAUCCAUCCCAUUGCAAGAGGGAGACGGGGGUUCGAUUCCUCCCGGCGGCA